UACGAAGGGUGCUAGCGUUGUUCGGAAUUAUUGGGCGUAAAGCGUAUGUAGGCGGUUUAGUAAGUCAGUUGUGAAAGCCCCGAGCUUAACUCGGGAAUUGCAACCGAAACUACUUUGCUUGAAUUUGGUGGGGGAUAGCGGAAUUCUUAGUGUAGGGGUGAAAUCCGUAGAUAUUAAGAGGAACACCGGCGGCGAAAGCGGCUAUCUACACCAACAUUGACGCUGAGAUACGAAAGCGUGGGGAGCAAAC
rnacentral:rRNA from 1 species